rnacentral:rRNA from 1 species
ACGAACGCUGGCGGCGUGCUUAACACAUGCAAGUCGCACGGAAAGGCCCUGCUUUUGUGGGGUGCUCGAGUGGCGAACGGGUGAGUAACACGUGAGUAACCUGCCCUUGCCUUUGGGAUAACUUCAGGAAACUGGGGCUAAUACCGGAUAGGAGCUCCUGCUGCAUGGUGGGGGUUGGAAAGUUUCGGCGGUUGGGGAUGGACUCGCGGCUUAUCAGCUUGUUGGUGGGGUAGUGGCUUACCAAGGCUUUGACGGGUAGCCGGCCUGAGAGGGUGACCGGCCACAUUGGGACUGAGAUACGGCCCAGACUCCUACGGGAGGCAGCAGUGGGGAAUAUUGCACAAUGGGCGGAAGCCUGAUGCAGCAACGCCGCGUGCGGGAUGACGGCCUUCGGGUUGUAAACCGCUUUCGCCUGUGACGAAGCGUGAGUGACGGUAAUGGGUAAAGAAGCACCGGCUAACUACGUG